rnacentral:rRNA from 1 species
GCCAGCAGCCGCGGUAAUACGGAGGGUGCGAGCGUUAAUCGGAAUUACUGGGCGUAAAGCGCAUGCAGGUGGUUGUUAAGUCAGAUGUGAAAGCCCGGGGCUCAACCUCGGAAUUGCAUUUGAAACUGGCAAACUAGAGUACUGUAGAGGGGGUAGAAUUUCAGGUGUAGCGGUGAAAUGCGUAGAGAUCUGAAGGAAUACCGGUGGCGAAGGCGGCCCCCUGGACAGAUACUGACACUCAGAUGCGAAAGCGUGGGGAGCAAACAGGAUUAGAUACCCUGGUAG